GUUAGGAUGGCAGGAAGUCUUUCCCCAUAUGCUUCCAUGAUUUGCCUUGGAAUAUCUCUUGAAAUACAUCUCCAAGCAGCUCCCAUUGAACGGUAUGCAUCUACAUCACGUCAAAGAUGACGUUCUUCGGUGAUGGAGAGGAUUAAAAUAGCCAUUAAGCUGCAAAAUAACACCACAUGUCAUGUAAAGCACAAAAUAAAGAUACAGAUUGCA